rnacentral:lncRNA from 1 species
UGUGGCGAUGACAUUUGUUUUUGGUGGUGACAUUAUUUUAUAUAAUCUAAGAAUACAAUACAUGCAUUUAUAUUAUAAAGGUACAUAUAGUGAAAUAACAUUGUUUUGUUUAUAUUUGACAAUAUACUAGAAAAAAGGUUUUUGUGGCUCAAGCAUUCAUCUUAUGUUGCUCUGCAAGAUUGUCCUGCUAAAUAAAUUGAAAAGUCAAAGAAAUAAAACUCAAAGUGCAAGUAAAAUCAUUAGGGUAACAAUAUUCAUUAUAAAAUGAAAAAAGAAUAAUAAGUUAAGAAGUAAUAGAAUCAUUUUUAACUAAUUACCUGCUAAACACAUAAACAUUUAUUUGUUACGCAUAUCGGCAUUCCAGGUAAAAUACAUCGAUUACUUGCACAAUCAAGGGCAGAAUUACAAGUAAUAUCUAUAAAAUUAAAUAAUGUUAUUAGAAGAUGAUUAAAAUAAUUUACACGGUAAAAAAUAUAUUUUAAAAUGAUGAGAGAUUUGGCUUACUAUAGGCAUCGGUUACAAGGAGACAUGGAGAAAAAAAGAGGACCACAAUAUAAAUAAACUCAAGAAUUA